UACAGAGCUUCUAUGUUCAGACGCUGUGCCUCUUCAGAUCUCCAUAACUCUGAACAACGCCUGUGUAACGUCUCCCAUUUUCGGCUACCAUCUCCAUUAAUCCAAGCAUUAACGUCUUUCCCAUCACUGCUCCUACUCUUUUCCAUUUAAAUGGCCUCAUCAUCCUCCAACCCUGGAGCUCCAUCUAUAAAUGUUUUCUUUUCCUGCGAUGAAUACCCUCACUGCUACAAAAUCCGAAAGGUCACACUGUUACAAAUUCCUAUACUCUUAUUACCGAUUUGAAGGUUGGUCGCUGUUCAAACAUCUGCUCAGGUCCGGCUUAAGGUUCUGGGAGGCAAGGAAUGUCAAGAAAGGCGGCGAGCUGAUGGUGUCGACAUGCUACUCCUGGACGAGAAGGCUCUCCGUUGUAAAGAAGUGAUGGUCACAUGUCUGCUACGCUUUUGGGUGGCCAGGGACCUGAAGAAAAGCGGCAAGCUUAUAUGGUUUUAGUAGACGGAAAAGGAUCCAUCGCCGCACACACAGAUGGUACUCGGAGAAGCUCGUGAAAUGACAGUGGGGUAAAGAAGACUGUGUUUCUGAGUGGAACAAUUACAUAGACCCUCACGGUAACUCACUACUCUACUUCUGUCUUUUAACUCUAUUCAUGUUUAUUGUUUUGUCUGAUGUUCCUAAUCAAUUCACAAGUUCUCUCUCUGAGUUUCGUUUUUCUCGGUUCUCAUAUAUUCAAACAAGAGGAGUUUUAUGGAAAACUUCUCACUCGAAUUUUGGAGGUUGCUGGUGAGCUGAAUCCAUCCAACUAAACAAUCUGAUGCAAAAGAAUCCAGUUGAUACUUGAUCCUUAAUGUUUCUCAAUAACAUUCUCUUUGAAACAUAUCCAUUGAGCAACUUUUCAUAUAUAGGAAAGCAUCUGAAAAUCUAUUACAUAAGAAGGCAAUCAAAGUACAAGGAGAAUGGUGUAUUCUUUAUUUGAAAACCUUCCUCAUCUUCCUCAAGCUAGGUAUGA